UGCAGAAGUGGACUGGCGUGGUAUUGCUUCUGCUCAUCUUUGCAUAUGAAUUUCAUCACAUCCCUUUAAAUAAGACGAGCCGAAUCAAUACCACUCCAGUACACUUCACU
rfam:Glycine soja cultivar W05 scaffold3659_15, whole genome shotgun sequence.